UGGGUAGGGGAGCGUUCUGUAAGCCUGUGAAGGUGGCCUGUGAGGGUUGCUGGAGGUAUCAGAAGUGCGAAUGCUGACAUAAGUAACGAUAAAGCGGGUGAAAAGCCCGCUCGCCGGAAGACCAAGGGUUCCUGUCCAACGUUAAUCGGGGCAGGGUGAGUCGACCCCUAAGGCGAGGCCGAAAGGCGUAGUCGAUGGGAAACGGGUUAAUAUUCCCGUACUUGGUGUUACUGCGAAGGGGGGACGGAGAAGGCUAUGUUGGCCGGGCGACGGUUGUCCCGGUUUAAGCGUGUAGGUGUGUGUUCCAGGUAAAUCCGGUUCACUUUAACACUGAGGCGUGAUGACGAGGCACUACGGUGCUGAAGCAACAAAUGCCCUGCUUCCAGGAAAAGCCUCUAAGCAUCAGGUAACAUCAAAUCGUACCCCAAACCGACACAGGUGGUCAGGUAGAGAAUACCAAGGCGCUUGAGAGAACUCGGGUGAAGGAACUAGGCAAAAUGGUGCCGUAACUUCGGGAGAAGGCACGCUGACACGUAGGUGAAGUGAUUUACUCACGGAGCUGAAGUCAGUCGAAGAUACCAGCUGGCUGCAACUGUUUAUUAAAAACACAGCACUGUGCAAACACGAAAGUGGACGUAUACGGUGUGACGCCUGCCCGGUGCCGGAAGGUUAAUUGAUGGGGUCAGCGCAAGCGAAGCUCCUGAUCGAAGCCCCGGUAAACGGCGGCCGUAACUAUAACGGUCCUAAGGUAGCGAAAUUCCUUGUCGGGUAAGUUCCGACCUGCACGAAUGGCGUAAUGAUGGCCAGGCUGUCUCCACCCGAGACUCAGUGAAAUUGAACUCGCUGUGAAGAUGCAGUGUACCCGCGGCAAGACGGAAAGACCCCGUGAACCUUUACUAUAGCUUGACACUGAACAUUGAGCCUUGAUGUGUAGGAUAGGUGGGAGGCUUUGAAGCGUGGACGCCAGUCUGCGUGGAGCCGACCUUGAAAUACCACCCUUUAAUGUUUGAUGUUCUAACGUGGACCCGUAAUCCGGGUUGCGGACAGUGUCUGGUGGGUAGUUUGACUGGGGCGGUCUCCUCCUAAAGAGUAACGGAGGAGCACGAAGGUUGGCUAAUCCUGGUCGGACAUCAGGAGGUUAGUGCAAUGGCAUAAGCCAGCUUGACUGCGAGCGUGACGGCGCGAGCAGGUGCGAAAGCAGGUCAUAGUGAUCCGGUGGUUCUGAAUGGAAGGGCCAUCGCUCAACGGAUAAAAGGUACUCCGGGGAUAACAGGCUGAUACCGCCCAAGAGUUCAUAUCGACGGCGGUGUUUGGCACCUCGAUGUCGGCUCAUCACAUCCUGGGGCUGAAGUAGGUCCCAAGGGUAUGGCUGUUCGCCAUUUAAAGUGGUACGCGAGCUGGGUUUAGAACGUCGUGAGACAGUUCGGUCCCUAUCUGCCGUGGGCGCUGGAGAACUGAGGGGGGCUGCUCCUAGUACGAGAGGACCGGAGUGGACGCAUCACUGGUGUUCGGGUUGUCAUGCCAAUGGCACUGCCCGGUAGCUAAAUGCGGAAGAGAUAAGUGCUGAAAGCAUCUAAGCACGAAACUUGCCCCGAGAUGAGUUCU
rnacentral:rRNA from 1 species